rnacentral:rRNA from 1 species
CACAUGCAAGUCGAGGGGUAACGAUGGUGCUUGCACCAGGCGACGACCGGCGCACGGGUGAGUAACGCGUAUGCAACCUACCCAUAACUUGAGAAUAGCCCAUAGAAAUGUGGAUUAAUACUCAAUAAUAUUUUUUAGAGGCAUCUCUAAAAGUAAAUAUUAAAGAUUACGGUAAAAGAUGAGUAUGCGUCCUAUUAGCUAGAGGGUAAGGUAACGGCUUACCAUGGCAACGAUAGGUAGGGGCCCUGAGAGGGGGAUCCCCCACACUGGUACUGAGACACGGACCAGACUCCUACGGGAGGCAGCAGUGAGGAAUAUUGGACAAUGGGCGCAAGCCUGAUCCAGCCAGGUCGCGUGCAGGAAGACUGCCCUAUGGGUUGUAAACUGCUUUUAUACAGGAAGAAACACCUCUACGUGUAGAGGCUUGACGGUACUGUAAGAAUAAGGAUCGGCUAACUCCGUGCCAGCAGCCGCGGUAAUACGGAGGAUCCAAGCGUUAUCCGGAAUCAUUGGGUUUAAAGGGUCCGUAGGUGGAUAAUUUAGUCAGAGGUGAAAUCCUGCAGCUCAACUGUAGAAUUGCCUUUGAUACUGGUUAUCUUGAAUAUAGUUGAGGUAGGCGGAAUGUGUAAUGUAGCGGUGAAAUGCUUAGAUAUUACACAGAACACCGAUUGCGAAGGCAGCUUACUAAACUAUUAUUGACGCUGAUGUACGAAAGCGUGGGUAGCGAACAGGAUUAGAUACCCUGGUAGUCCACGCCGUAAACGAUGAUUACUCGUUGCAUGCAAUACACCGUAUGUGACUUAGCGAAAGCAUUAAGUAAUCCACCUGGGGAGUACGUUGGCAACAAUGAAACUCAAAGGAAUUGACGGGGGCCCGCACAAGCGGAGGAACAUGUGGUUUAAUUCGAUGAUACGCGAAGAACCUUACCUGGGUUUAAAUGUAGCGUGACCGUACUCAAGGGUAUUUCUCUUCGGAGCAGGUUACAAGGUGCUGCAUGGCUGUCGUCAGCUCGUGCCGUGAGGUGUCGGGUUAAGUCCCAUAACGAGCGCAACCCCUAUUGUUAGUUGCUAACAGGUCAAGCUGAGGACUCUAGCGAGACUGCCACCGUAAGGUGCGAGGAAGGUGGGGAUGACGUCAAGUCAGCACGGCCCUUACGUCCAGGGCUACACACGUGUUACAAUGGUCGAUACAAAGGGCAGCUACACAGUGAUGUGAUGCAAAUCUCAAAAAUCGAUCUCAGUUCGGAUUGAAGUCUGCAACUCGACUUCAUGAAGGUGGAUUCGCUAGUAAUCGUGCAUCAGCAACGGCACGGUGAGUACGUUCCCGGGCCUUGUACACACCGCCCGUCAAGCCAUGGAAGCUGAGGGUACCUGAAGUCUGUAACCGUAAGGAACGGCCUAAGGUAAAAUUAGUA